GCCGGGGUGGCGUAAUGGUAGCCGCAGCGGUCUUAAAAACCGCAGCUCGCAAGAGCGUAUGGGUUCGAAUCCCAUCCCCGGUA
rnacentral:tRNA from 1 species